GACGGGGGAUGCAAGCGUUAUCCGGAAUUAUUGGGCGUAAAGGGUCUGUAGGUGGUGAUACAAGUCACAUGUGCAAGCCUGGUGCUCAACGGCAUGAAGGCCAGGGAAACUGUCUGACUAGAGUGUAGGAGAGGUAGAAGGAAGUCCCGGUGUAGCGGUGAAAUGCGUAGAUACCGGGAAGAACACCGGUGGCGCAAGCGUUCUACUGGGAUAUAACUGACACUGAGGGACGAAAGCUAGGGGAGCGAAUGGG
rnacentral:rRNA from 1 species